rnacentral:rRNA from 1 species
UACAGAGGGGGCAAGCGUUGUUCGGAAUUACUGGGCGUAAAGGGCGCGUAGGCGGCCUGCUAAGUCGAACGUGAAAUCCCUGGGCUCAACCCAGGAACUGCGUCCGAUACUGGUUGGCUUGAAUCCGGGAGAGGGAUGUGGAAUUCCAGGUGUAGCGGUGAAAUGCGUAGAUAUCUGGAGGAAGACCAGUGGCGAAGGCGGGUCUCUGGACAGUUCCUGACACUGAGACACGAAGGCCAGGGGAGCAAACGGG